rnacentral:rRNA from 1 species
UACGAAGGGGGCUAGCGUUGCUCGGAAUCACUGGGCGUAAAGCGCACGUAGGCGGACUCUUAAGUCGGUGGUGAAAUCCUGGAGCUCAACUCCAGAACUGCCUUUGAUACUGAAGAUCUUGAGUUCGGGAGAGGUGAGUGGAACUGCGAGUGUAGAGGUGAAAUUCGUAGAUAUUCGCAAGAACACCAGUGGCGAAAGGCGGCUCACUGGCCCGAUACUGACGCUGAGGCACGAAAGCGUGGGAGCAACAGG